CUUCGGCGGAUUUACUUUUCCUUAGCGGCGGACGGGUGAGUAACGUGUGGGCAACCUGCCCUACAGUGGGGAAUAAUCAUUGGAAACGAUGACUAAUACCGCAUACGGUCUUCGGGAGGCAUCUCCUGAAGAAGAAAGGAUUUAUUCGCUGCAGGAUGGGCCCGCAUCUGAUUAGCUAGUUGGUGAGAUAACAGCCCACCAAGGCAACGAUCAGUAGCCGACCUGAGAGGGUGAUCGGCCACAUUGGGACUGAGACACGGCCCAAACUCC
rnacentral:rRNA from 1 species